GGAAUAUCUUAGCUCCAUAACUGUGCAGUAAACAUUGAAGUUAAUGGUGCCUCGCAUAGCAUAGGUACCUCAGUAAGAUCAACUGUAAUGAUUAUGUCUGCAUUGUCCUAUCAACCUGAUAUGUUCUGUAAAUAAGUAUGUCUUCAACCCAUGGCCUGGCCUAGAGAAUGUAGGGGGUGACCUUAAAAGGCCAAGAAUCCAGGACCUAGAGAGAGACCUAUGGGUGCUGGGUGCUU
rnacentral:lncRNA from 1 species